UACGAAGGGGGCUAGCGUUGUUCGGAAUUACUGGGCGUAAAGCGCACGUAGGCGGACUAUUAAGUCAGGGGUGAAAUCUCGGGGCUCAACCCCGGAACUGCCUUUGAUACUGGUAGUCUCGAGUCCGGAAGAGGUGAGUGGAAUUCCGAGUGUAGAGGUGAAAUUCGUAGAUAUUCGGAGGAACACCAGUGGCGAAGGCGGCUCACUGGCCCAUUACUGACGCUGAGGCACGAAAGCGUGGGGAGCAAACAGG
rnacentral:rRNA from 1 species